rnacentral:lncRNA from 1 species
UUGCUUUGAAUACAUGAAACAAUUGAUAAAAAUGCAUUUUUAUUUGAAAAGUGUGCAGAAACAAUCACUGAAUACAUAUCUCAACCAUGGUAUUCAAACCCACAUGCCACAGAAUCGUUGGAUGCUAGAAUCUCUGAAGCCACUAGAACUUUGGUACAACAAAAUAAUGACCUAACUGAGUUUGUCAGGAACCACAGUCUAUUCAGGGGCAUAUAAAAUAAAAACUUCAAGUUCAAAGUUUUGAGUUAUAUUCAAAUCAUUAGACAAAACAGAGAUCUGUGCAGAAGACAGACAAAACAUGCCUAGUUUAAAAAUGAGGAUAACAUUACUCAAAGGUAAACUAGUGGGCUACAGUAAAGCACUUCAGUGUUAUUUUAAUAGAAUAUUGUCUACUUUUAACACAUUAACUAAAGCAGAAUAAUUUAUUUUUCUUAAUUUCAAAUACAAUCAGAAUCUUGUACAAGUUAAUAGACACAAAAGCCCUAUUUGUACAGAAGAUUUUGACCAGGUUAUAAUGUACUAUUUAUAAUUGAAUUGAUUUCUUUGAAAGAAAUACAAGAUAACACACAGACUGAAGUAAAGCUCAUAUUUUUUCAACAUUUAGAUAUAUUCAACAUUUUCAAUCAAAUCCAGGCACCUCAAGGUGACUGCUCAUGUGUAGUUUCUCGUCCCCUUAUUGAAAUUAGUGUGGUGUUCCAGUUAUAUUUCUUUCUUUCUUUUUUAUUUAAAUUUGGUACUGGGUCCUUGUGCUUGCAAGGCAGGCGGCGGAACCACUGAGCCAAAUCCCCAGCCCCUACUGCUAUAUUUCUUACAAGUGGUCCAGAUUAUGACUUUUUAACUCAUUUUUAGUUUAAGUGUCUGUUUAUGAGAGGGAAUACAAUUUACAAACCAGUUUUAAUAUAUUCUCAUUUGAGUCUGUUGCGUACACUUUGAGGCACUCAAGUUUUAUAAACUCACAUGAGAAGCCACUAAGAUAUUGAAUGACAUAAUAAGGUCCCCAAGGACACUUUUUCUUUCUGCAACACUAGGCUUUCUUUCAGAGAAUUUUGGGGAAAAGUCACCCAGAAAAAAAUAAGGAUAAGCAUAGAUUACAGACAAUAUUUUUAUGUGCCAACAAAUAUAAGGGCAGUAGGAACUGGUUAAAUAAGGGAUCCAUUUAGUUAAGAUCAGAUGUGCUGGUUCUUACAGAAUGUACUAAUAAGCUUUACAGAUUAAGUCAGCUGAGAGAUAUUAGCUAUGACUUCCAAGACCUUUUAGAAAGGAAAGGAACCAGAAAAUCCCAUUUAAACCACUCAAUAAAUUAUAUUUUUUCACAAAAGAUGACAUUAUCUUUAGUCCCACUAUUUUGGUACUAAUGUUUUUGUUUGUUUAUUUUUGUUAACGCUUUUCUUUAUAUAUGAAGUUAAAAAAUAUCUUAACCAUUGAC